rnacentral:lncRNA from 1 species
AAAAUAAUAAAGUUACAAAUGAUUUUCUUAUUAAUGGUCUCUAUCAGCUACAUAUUGAUGUAUCUGUAUUUAAUAUCGAGCAAAAUGUGAAUGCCAUAGGAAUUAAAAGGCCUAAAGAUAGUCUAAAUGAUAGGUAUCUGUGGCACCUAAGGCUAGGUCAUAUAGUGGAAGACAGGGUUAACAAAUUGGAGAAAUUCGGGCUAUUGAGUCCGUUGACUUUCGAGUCAUAUCCAGUUUGUG